GACGAACGCUGGCGGCGUGCUUAACACAUGCAAGUCGAACGAAGUGGCGAACGGGUGAGUAACGCGUAAACAACCUGCCCUUCAGAGGGGGAUAACAGUUUGAAACGAAUGCUAAUACAGCAUACUGAAGGAGGGGAUUGCGUCGGUUGAGUUAGUUGGAGGGGUAACGGCCAACCAAGGCGAUGAUCAGUAGGCGGUCUGAGAGGAUGAACGGCCACAUUGGGACUGAGACAAGGCCCAGACUCCUACGGGAGGCAGCAGGGGGGAAUCUUCCGCAAUGGAAGAAAGUCUGACGAAGCAACGCCGCGGGAGUGAGGACGGCCUUCGGGUUGUAAAGCUCUGUUAAUCGGGACGCGGUACCGGAAUAGAAAGCCACGGCUAACUACGUGCCAGCAGCCGCGGUAAUUC
rnacentral:rRNA from 1 species